CAGAGGCGGAAGAAAGAGGUGCUGGGUAGUUCCCAAGCGCGGUGCAGGCAGUGCGCUCAAAAUACUGGGCAGAGGAGGAGCCUUUAGGUGUGGGGUCCUAUGACCACAAUCACCCUGCAGCUGACCAGACAUCCCAGUGAUGGAAGACUUUGUUCCAAGACUUCUCUGGAACCCCUGCCCUGUGAACCUGGAUAACCGGAAAGUCCUCCAAAAGGAGUUUAGAACUUUUUCAUUAAGAAGUUUUGUCAUCAGUCUGGAAAUAUUUUCUUUUCCUGUACAUGCAGCCCUCUCUUUUGGUUUUGAAAGGCUUUCGAUCUAAAAUUAAAUUCUAACUCAUA